UACGUAGGUGGCGAGCGUUGUCCGGAAUUAUUGGGCGUAAAGCGCGCGCAGGCGGCCUGGUAAGUCUGAUGUGAAAGCCCCCGGCUCAACCGGGGACGGCCAUUGGAAACUGGCAGGCUUGAGUAUAGGAGAGAAGAGUGGAAUUCCACGUGUAGCGGUGAAAUGCGUAGAGAUGUGGAGGAACACCAGUGGCGAAGGCGGCCCUUUGGCAUAUAACUGACGCUGAGGCGCGAAAGCGUGGGGAGCAAACAGG
rnacentral:misc_RNA from 1 species